GUGCUCGCUUCGGCAGCACAUAUACUAAAAUUGGAACGAUACAGAGAAGAUUAGCAUGGCCCCUGUGCAAGGACGACACGCAAAUUCAUGAAGCGUUCCAUAUUUAA
rnacentral:snRNA from 1 species